rnacentral:rRNA from 1 species
CAAUAGCGUAUAUUAACGUUGUUGCAGUUAAAAAGCUCGUAGUUGGAUUUCUGGUGUGAUGCGCCUGGUCCGCCGGGGUUACCCGUGUGAGAGCCGGUUGCGCGUCCGCCAUCCUUCUGGAGAGCGUGGCUACUCUUCACUGAGCUGGUUACGCAAUCUGGAUCGUUUACUUUGAAAAAAUUAGAGUGUUCAAAGCAGGCUUGCGCUGUGAAUACAUUAGCAUGGAAUAAUAAGAUAGGACUUUGGUUCUAUUUUGUUGGUUUCUAGGACCGAACGUAAUGAUUGAUAGGGACAGUUGGGGGUGCUCGUAUUCAACGGCCAGAGGUGAAAUUCUUGGAUUCGUUGAAGACGAACUUAUGCGAAAGCAUUCACCAAGGAUGUCUUCUUUAAUCAAGAACGAAAGUUGGGGGAUCGAAGACGAUUAGAUACCAU